GGAAAGAUGGCUGAGUGGCCGAAGGCGCUUCCCUGCUAAGGAAGUGUACCCUUAAACGGGUACCGAGGGUUCGAAUCCCUCUCUUUCCG
rnacentral:tRNA from 2 species